rnacentral:lncRNA from 1 species
UUUGGAUAAUAAGAGAGUAAGUUUGUUGAAUGCCCGUUAUAUGGCGCUGUUUGUUAACGGGUAUAUUUGCUGAUUUGAAGCCCGUGUGCACUCCGUCGAGUGAAGUGGCUUGAUAGCUUGGAGGGUGAUCCCUCUUUCCUGGCACCCACAGUCCCGCUCCAGCCACCGGCUCCGGAUCCGGCUCGAACGUGGUCCAGUCACAGCCCUGUACUUCUAUCCUCCUCCUGCUGCAGUGCUGGUGGUGGCGCGGUCCCCUCUCUCUUUCUCCCGUCUCGGUCCACCGCCGGGCCCCGGGUAAUUAAUUAUUCCGACCCAAAUUUACACCCAGCCUAUGCUGCGUUCAAGGGCAUAUUCGUAAUUACGCGGCACUCAGACGGGCCAGCUG